rnacentral:rRNA from 1 species
GAAUUUUAUAUAAGAUUUAAUAUUUUUGAAAAUUUAUUAGAAUUUAUAUUUUAUUGGGAGGAUAGUUAAAAAAGGGUAAACUUUAUUAAUAAUAUUACAUUAAUAUAUGGAUUAGUGAAUAAUUUUUAUUAUAUUAGAAUUAAUUACCUUAGGGAUAACAGCAUAAUAUUUUUGGAAAGAUCAUAUUAAUAAAAAUGUUUGU